GAUGAACGCUGGCGGCGUGCUUAACACAUGCAAGUCGAACGGAAAGGCUACUGCUUGGAGGGGUACUCGAGUGGCGAAGGGGUGAGAGACACGUGGGUGAUCUGCCCAGCACUUCGGGAUAUGCCUGGGAGACUGGGUAUAAUAUCGGAUAGGAUGAUGGUUUGGAUGUGAUUGUGGAAAGUUUUUUCGGUGUGGGGUGAGCUCGCGGCCUAUCAGCUUGUUGGUGGGGGAAUGGCAUACCAAGGCGUCGACGGGUAGCCGGCCUGAGAGGGGGGACGGCCACAAUGGGACUGAGGGACGGACCAGACGCGUACGGGAGGCAGUGGUCGGGAAUAUGGCACAAUGGGCGCAAGCCUGAGGCAGCGACGCCGCGUUCGGGAUGACGGCCUUCGGGUUGUAAACACCUGUCGCUAGGGACGAAGCGCAAGUGACGGUACCUGGAGAAGAAGCACCGGCUAACUACGUG
rnacentral:rRNA from 1 species